rnacentral:rRNA from 1 species
ACGGGAGGCAGCAGUGAGGAAUAUUGGGCAAUGGGCGAAAGCCUGACCCAGCGACGCCGCGUGAGGGAAGAAGGUCUUCGGAUUGUAAACCUUAGUCAACAGGGAAGAAGCAAGUGACGGUACCUGUGGAGGAAGCCACGGCUAACUACGUGCCAGCAGCCGCGGUAACACGUAAGGUGCGAGCGUUGUUCGGAAUCAUUGGGCGUAAAGGGCAUGUAGGCGGUCUGUCAAGCCAGGCGUGAAAGCCAGGGGCUCAACCCCUGAACUGCGCUUGGAACUGGCGGACUGGAGUCGCUGAGGGGGAACCGGAAUUCCUGGUGUAGGGGUGAAAUCUGUAGAUAUCAGGAAGAACACCGAUGGCGAAGGCAGGUUUCCAGCAGACGACUGACGCUGAGGUGCGAAGGUGCGGGGAGCAAACAGGAUUAGAUACCCUGGUA